AUGCGCCGCCCUGUCCUGCCUGGGUCUGCCAGGGGCACCCAGCUGCUCUGCUGGGUGUCCCUCUGUCUCCUGGGGGCAGGUCCGGCGGGUGCCGAAGUCAUCCAGACACCCAGACACCUAAUCCGAGGCAGUGGGGGGAAGGCCGUGCUGAAAUGCGAACCUGUCUCUGGGCACAGCAGUGUGCGAUGGUACCAGCAGACCCUGGGGCAGGGCCCCAAGUUCCUCAUUGAGUAUUAUGAACAGAUGCUGAGAGACAAAGGAGACAUGCCAGAACGGUUCUCAGCUCAACAGCUCAGUAACUACAGCUCCCAGCUAGACCUGAGCUUGCUGGAGCCAGGAGACUCAGCCAUGUAUCUCUGUGCCAGCAGUUAG